rnacentral:lncRNA from 1 species
AGGGGGGGGUGAAUUGGGUCUUUUAAAAACUUUUCAACUACUUCUAAUCUUUUAGAGUUAAUUAUGCUAAGUUGUAUAGAUGCACAGUGAAAUUUAAACUUAGCAACAGUUUGAUGUAUAGAUUGUGACUUGAUUGAUUAUGCUUGCAACUAAAGGAUGCGCGGAUAAGAGUUAAGCAAGCAAUUUAUCUAAGUAAGUAAGUGAGUAAGUUAGACAAUGACAAGAAGCAUUACAAACACAACAAACAUAUAGUGGUUCGGUGCACCCCAGCACCUACAUCCACUCCUCAAGACCUCUUGGGAAUUUCACUAUAAUCCUACAGAUUACAGCCGGUUGUUUUACAAGCUCACAACCCAACUUGUUGUUUUGCGAGAUAACAAUGAACUCGGUCGGUUUUCACAGGCUCACCGACUAGAACCAACCGAU